AUUGAACGCUGGCGGCAUGCCUUACACAUGCAAGUCGAACGGCAGCACGGGAGCAAUCCUGGUGGCGAGUGGCGAACGGGUGAGUAAUAUAUCGGAACGUGCCCAGUCGUGGGGAUAACGUAGCGAAAGCUACGCUAAUACCGCAUACGAUCUAUGGAUGAAAGCGGGGGGAUCGCAAGACCUCGCGCGAUUGGAGCGGCCGAUAUCAGAUUAGGUAGUUGGUGAGGUAAAGGCUCACCAAGCCGACGAUCUGUAGCUGGUCUGAGAGGACGACCAGCCACACUGGGACUGAGACACGGCCCAGACUCCUACGGGAGGCAGCAGUGGGAAUUUUGGACAAUGGGCGCAAGCCUGAUCCAGCAAUGCCGCGUGCAGGAUGAAGGCCUU
rnacentral:rRNA from 1 species